CCGCCGCCGCGCCACGUGCAUACGCGGGUGGUUGCGCCUCUGCUGUCUCGCAGCGCCAGGGGCUGCAGCCCGGUCCCCGCAGAGCAAACCCUUCCGGACCCGGCGUAGUGCCCACCCCGGCUGGCGUUCUUCUCCCCACGCGGGAAGAGCGGCUAGGCUGCAGCUUGGAACCGAGAGGAUCCCAGGGUGACUCUAGAGUCGACCGACCUGGACCAGAGCGCAAAGUACCCACACCUGCCUCUUGAGGCUCUGCCUCGUUUGUGGAGACAGGAAACAGCCUGGCACCCCUUGAACUGCGUAGUGGAUUUGUGUUUUCUGGGGCCUUCUGGACGUAGCUGGACUGUACCUGAGCUUCAGGAUGGACACUUUUUGGGUAGUCAAGAGAGAGAGAGAGGCCUGGGCACCUGCGGCAUCGCACUCCCCCACUUGCUUGGCAGGACGUGCCUCCUCGUUAUCUUUGCCCCAGGAUUCCUGGAGAGCUUGUGGGUCUGAGGCUACUCCUUCCUAACAAAUAGAACAUUCUUGAUUCAUUCUGAGUGUCACUUUCCCCCAGGCACCGUGCUAGAUGCUGGGUUACGCAAGUGGCUCUCUGGAGCUUUGAAAAAUCGCCGUGCCCGAGCACCACCCCAAAUCAUCAGAAUCUCCCGGGAUGGGACACAAGCAUCAGAAUUCUUUCCAGUUCAAGAUGAUUGCCAAAGGCAGUAAAGAUGAGAACCAAAGAGCUUAAAAAUCAGUGAGACUGGCUGAAGAAACGAAUGCUCUAAUCCCUAGAAAAGUACUAGGCCCAUUAUGUUUGAUGCUCAGAGGAUUAACAAUGAUUUUUGUUUUCAUUUUUGCAUCGUGUGAAAGAUGUAUGUUUAUUACUUACACUGUUUAUUUAAGGGAAUACUUAAAGGAGUGGGUGAAACAGAUUUUCUCCAUUCCUUCACUGACGGUUUGCUCUCAAUUAUUUGAGCUAAUGGAAAGACAUCUAGGCAGGGAUGAUAUGAAAAAUAGACUUUUCAAGCUUUAUUAGUUUUUUCUUGCAUUUUUGUUAGGAGAUGAGGUUGUCAAAUAAUGAAUUUAUGGACUUGGGGAGUAUCCAUGCAUUGCAAAAAUUCAUACCAAGCGAUCCAUUUUUCGCCUUUGCCUGAACGUUUUAUACCUCAUCUGGAAACUCCUGUUCUCUAAUGUCGCAAUGACACCUGCAUGGUAAUGAGCUGCCGGCUAUUCUGUGGGUACAUCCUUCAAAGCCUUGUCACCCAGUGUUUACUGAGGACCCGAUAUGCACCACACAUUGUGCCAGAACAUAGUGAGUGCUCAUUUAUUUCUACAGACCGGUUACAAAGACUAAGACAAAAACUAAAUAGGUGAAACCCGUGAACAUAAUGUUGAGAGAAUAAAGCAAGUCAGAAGAGAAGGUUGGCUGCCUUACCGGGAAGAGAAUACACUGACUGCAGCUCAGGAUUCCUUAAGAUCUAACCCAAAAGUGGUUCCGUACCAGGCUGUCUCAAUUGUUUAUCGUCAAUGUAUCGCGUGGUGGUCUAAACCUGACUUACGCGGUCAUUUAACCUUGUCUGGCUCAGUGGUCAGUGUGAUGUCAACGACCUCUCAGUGAACACGUCCUUUGGUUUCCCUGAGACGGAGACCUCUUGCGCUUAUCUUGGUGACUUGCGGUCUAGAGAUGAAGCUUAUCCUGUGUGACUGAGCAAGGACUCUGGAAGGUGUACUUGGAUGCCUUUGGACGCCUUGGACCCUCCGGAUGCAUUCUUUCUCUUGCUGUAUUGUAUUCCUUGUCUUCAUUUAAGCUUGAUGUCUGCAUGCUUUAAAAAAAAAAAAAAAAAAAAAAGUCUAACCCAAAAGUUAACCCCAGAGGCUGAGAAUGUGAGUGUAUCUUUUGUAUUUGUGACAGGAGGACCUCCCUUUUGGAAACUCAAAGAUAAAGACUGGAGUCUUUUGAAUCUUCCCUUCCCCGAAGCAGCGAGGAUGGGUGGGAGAAGGUCCCCGGGGUCAGAGUGAAUAAGGAGAGGGGUAAUCUUCUUAUAUAUUGAAGGCAUUACUAUCACAAACCCGUGGGGCAGACACAGAGGUGCCCUGAGAGCCCCCUCCAGGGAAAGGCUGACCGCCUGGCUCGGAGAAGUAUGGUUGAGUUGUCUGAUAGUUUCCCGUCUCCAGCCUUUUCAGAAUCUGGCUCAGCAUUUUUUUUAAACUGUGGCAAAAUACACAGGACAUAGAAUUUCCCGUCAGUGACAGAACCCUUAGAGCAGUCCUAAGUACAUUCACGGUUUUCACCACUACCUAGUUCCAGAACAUUUUCAUCCGCGCAAAAGGAAGCCCCAUCUCCAUUAAGCACUUGAUCCCUUUUUUGCCCCUUCUCCCCAGCCCCAGCAACCUCCAGUCCACUUUCCGUCUGUACGAAUUGGACUACUCCGGACGUUUCGUAUAAAUGGGAUGUGUGUCCUUUUGUGUCUGGUUUCCCUUCACUCAGCAUGUUUUCAGGGCUCUUUCCUUGGCCCUUGUAAAAUAGUGCUGCUGUGAAUAUUUGUGUGCAAGUUUUUCUCUGAACACCCAUUUUCAAACCUUUUGAGUAUAUUAAUUUGGGAGUAGAAUUGCUGAGUCGUAUGGUAAUUUUAUGCUUAACGUAUUGCGAAACGGCCACACUGUUUUCUACGCUGGCUGUACAAUUCUGCAUCUCUACCAGCAAUGUAUAAGGGUUCCAGUGUUUCCGUAUCUUCACCAGUACUUAUUAUCCAAUGUUUUAACAUUUAUUAUUAUUAUUAUUUUUUUGUAAUCUCUACACCCCAUGUAGGGCCGGAACUCAGGACCCAGAAUCUGAGAGUCUCGUGCCCUUCUGACUCAGCCAGCCAGGCACCCCUCCGAUGUUUUGACUACAGCCACCCAAUAGGUGUGGAGUGGUAUCUCAUUUGCAUUUGCUUUUUUUUUUUUUUUUUUUGGAGAGAGCAUGCCUAUGAAUGGGGAGAGGGGCAGGCAGAGAGAGAGGGAAAGAGAGAGAGAAUCUCAAC